rnacentral:tRNA from 1 species
AUAAAGUAAGCUAAAAUAAUAAGCUAG